UACAGAGGGGGCAAGCGUUGUUCGGAAUUACUGGGCGUAAAGGGCGCGUAGGCGGCCUGUUAAGUCGAACGUGAAAUCCCCGGGCUCAACCCGGGAACUGCGUCCGAUACUGGCAGGCUUGAAUUCGGGAGAGGGAUGCGGAAUUCCAGGUGUAGCGGUGAAAUGCGUAGAGAUGUGGAGGAACACCAAUGGCGAAGGCAGCCUUCUGGGCCAACACUGACGCUCAUGCACGAAAGCGUGGGGAGCAAACAGG
rnacentral:rRNA from 1 species